AUGGGGGAGAAUAUGGGGUCAUAUGGAGUUAUAUGGGGGAAUACAGAGUCAUAUGGGGGGAAUAUGGAGUCAUAUGUGGAAAUCCCUUAUUUUUGGGGUCUUUGGGGUCUUUUUGGGGUCUGGACCCCCCCACUGACCUGUCUCCCCCCAUUCCCACUUAUGGGGUGCUGCUGUGGGGCCUUUAUGGGGGAAAUAAUGGGGUUGUGGUGGAAAACUGUGGGAUUUGGGGUAAAAAUCCCAUAUUUUAUGGGGUAUUUGGGGUCUUUUUGGGGUCUGGACCCCCCCACUGACCUGCCUACCCCAUUCCCACUUAUAGGGCGGUGCUAUGGGGUUGGGACCAGUGUCUUUAUGGGGGAAAUAAUGGGGUUGGGGUGGAAGACUGUGGGAUUUGGGGUAAAAAUCCCACAUUUUAUGGGAUAUUUGGGGUCUUUUUGGGGUAUUUGGGGGGGUUUUGGGGUCUUUGGGGUCUUUUUGGGGUCUUUUUGGGGUCUUUUUGGGGUCUUUGGGGUCUUUUUAGGGUCUGGACCCCCCCCCACUGACCUGUCCCCUCUAUUCCCAUCUAUGGGGUGCUGCUGUGAGGCCUUUAUGGGGGAAAUAAUGGGGUUGGGGUGGAAAACUGUGGGAUUUGGGGUAAAAAUCCCAUAUUUUAUGGGGUCUUUGGGGUCUUUUUGGGGUAUUUGGGGGGGUUUGGGGGUCUUUUUGGGGUCUUUGGGGUCUUUUUGGGGUCUGGACCCCCCCCAAACUGUGGAUUUUGGGGGGUAAAAUCCCGAUUUUUAUGGCGGUAUUUGGGGUGCUUUUUGGGUAUUUGGGGUCUUUUUGCGGGUCUGGACCCCCGCCACUGACCUGUCCCCAUUCCCAGCUAUGGGGUGCUGCCUGUGGGGUUGGGGCCUUUAUGGGGGAAAUAAUGGGGUUGGGGUGGAAAACUGUGGGAAUUUGGGGUAAAAACCCAUAUUUUUAUGGGUAUUUGGGGUUUUUUGGGGUCUUUGGGGUCUUUUUGGGGUCCGUGGACCCCCCCACUGACCUGCCUACCCGAUUCCCACUUAUAGGGUGGUGCUAUGGGGUUGGGGUCCAGUGUCUUUAAUGGGGGAAAUAAUCGGGGUUGGGGUGGAAGACUGGUGGGAUUUAGGGUUAAAAAUCCCAUAUUUUUAUGGUAAUUUGGGGUCUUUUUGGGUUAUUUGGGGGGGUUUGGGGUCUUUUUGGGUCUUUUUUGGGGUCUUUUUGGGGUCGCUUUUUUGGGGUCUGGACCCCCAUGACCUGUCCGCCCCCAUUUCCCGACUUAUAGGUGGUGCUAUGGGGUUGGGACCCAGUGUCUUUAUGGGGGAAAUAAUGGGUUGGGGUGGAAAAAACUGUGGAUUUAGGGUCUGGACCCCCCCAUUGACCUGUCCCCCCCCCAUUCCCAGCUAUGGGGUGCUGCUGUGGGGUUGGAGCCUUUAUGGGGGAAAUAAUGGGGUUGGGGUGGAAGACUGUGGGAUUUGGGGUAAAAAUCCCAUAUUUUAUGGGGUAUUUGGGGUCUUUUUGGGGGUAUUUGGGGUCUUUUGGGGUCUGGACCCCCCCGCACUGACCUGUCCCCCCCCCAUUCCCACUUAUAGGGUGGUGCUAUGGGGUUGGGGCCCAGUGUCUUUAUGGGGGAAAUAAUGGGGUUGGGCUGGAAGACUGUGGGAUUUAGGGUAAAAAUCCCAUAUUUUAUGGGGUCUUUUGGGGUCUUUUUGGGGUCUUUGUGGGGUCUUUGGGGUCUUUUUAGGGUCUGGACCCCCCCACUGAC
rnacentral:lncRNA from 1 species